GUCGGAUCAUCUCGACCCGGAUCUUAGGGGUAUACUAGCAGAAAUGUUCGUGCAUUGCUACGGGUUCUUACUUGCUCUCACGUUAUUAUCCGCUUGUUCCUACUAUAUUGGCUUCGCUUCACAAUAUGUUGGUGCGUUGUCCCUAGUAGUCCUCUCUUUAAAAGUAUAGUAGUAGAAGAUAUUUAUGGGUGUUUGAUGUCAUAUGUUUAUUACGUGAGACCCACAUAUGAAAAUAAAAAAAAUCACCGCUUAACCUCAGCUCUAUCGAUUCAUUCGAUCCCCC
rnacentral:lncRNA from 1 species